rnacentral:rRNA from 1 species
UACGUAGGGUGCAAGCGUUGUCCGGAAUUAUUGGGCGUAAAGAGCUCGUAGGCGGUCUGUCACGUCGGCUGUGAAAACCCGGAGCUCAACUCCGGGCCUGCAGUCGAUACGGGCAAACUGGAGUGUUGCAGGGGAGACUGGAAUUCCUGGUGUAGCGGUGAAAUGCGCAGAUAUCAGGAGGAACACCGAUUGCGAAGGCAGCUCGCUGGGACGUAACUGACGCUGAGACGCGAAAGCGUGGGGAGCAAACAGG